UUUUUAACAUGGCUAUAGAGUAUUUAAGUCAAAACCCGAAUGGAGGUGAACUAUUCCUGCAAAGAUUGAAGUCAGGGGAAACUCUGAUGGAAGAUCGUUGGCGUUAUUGAUGUGCAAAUCAUUUGCUUUAUGUAGGUAUAGGUGCGAAAGACUCAUCGAACCUCCUAAUAGCUGGUUUCCUCCGAAGUUUCCCUCAGGAUAGCUGUAACAUUUUUAAAUAGUUAAGGAUAGUAGAGAAAUGGGUAGAGGUGUAGUGGAACUACGGUUCUGCAACUUAUUUCCAAACUUCGAACGUUCUUGAUAUAAAAAAUUACCUAAUAGGAAUUUUUUAUUUAAAUAUAUGUUAUAAGUGGGCUCUGACCGGUAAGCGGUCAUGGCGAAAAGGGAUGAACCUAACGUAUAAAUAAGGUGCCUAAAUUUACUAACAAUGAAACCAUUAAAAGAGUCCAUGUAUUUAGACAGCGGGUCGGUGCCCCUAAAAGCAGGUAUCCGUUAAUGAGUGUGUUAAAACUCCCCCGCCGAAUACUCUGGCCUUGAAAAUGAAUGGCGCAUAUAGUAAUACCGAUAUUAUACAUUAAAAUUAUUUCAAAAUUUUAAAAGUAGGGGGAUGUGGAUAUCUUAGAGAAUUUUUAAUUGUAAAAUUGAAUUGAAAGAUAUCUAUUACAGAUCCUAAUUGAAGUAGCGAUUAUCCAGGUUAAUCUCCUGGGGGCUGAUGAGGAGUAGGGUUUCUGGGCAACUUAAACGGACCCAGAGUUAGUCGAUCCUAAUCAAAUUAAAUUUAGAGAAAGGGAAUAUGAAUGAUAUUUCAUAACUAAAAUUAAUUUUUAAAUGGUGACAUUUUUUUAAACUUAUUUCCAUCAAUUAAAUACUGUUUAAUAGGGAUUUCUUUCCUAUAUAACUUUUUAAUUAAAACUUAAGAAACAGGUUAACUGGAGAAUAAAGUUUUAAUUUAGUAAAAUUAUAAUUUCGAUUAUAAUAACGGCUAUUUAAAUGAUCCAUGAAACGAUAAGUUUAUUUUUUCAAAAAUUAAUUUAAUCGUACCGAUAACCGCAUCAGGUCUCCAAGGUGAGUAGCUUCUGGCCAUUGAGUAAUGGUAAUUUAGGGAAUUCGGCCAAUUAGAGCUGUAACUUCGGGAUAAAGCUUGGCUCUGAUGGAAAUCAGAACCGAUAGUUACAAGGAGAGCCCAACUGUUUAAUAAAAACUUAGUGUCGCGUCAUACCUUUAUAAGUAAUAAACGUGACAUGAAUCCUGCUCAGUGCUGUGUUUGUUAAACUGGAUUAAUCCAUUUAAGCGCCGGUAAAUAGCUGGGGUAACUAUGACUCUUAUCAAAGUAGCGAAAUACCUCGUCACUUAAUUAGUGACCUGCAUGAACGGAGCUAUGAGGUUCUCACUGUCCCAAAUUAUCACUCAGCGAACCAACAGUUGUGGGAACGGGCACAAAUUAUCCAGCGGGGAAAGAAGACCCUGUAGAGCUUCACUUUGGUCUAAUCUUGUAUAGUUUCGUUAGGGGUGCAGUCUAGGUGGGAGAUUUUUAAUCAAAUAUGAGAAACCACUACCCUUUCUGGAAUUAUACUUACUAAAAUUCUUUUCUAAAUUUUAGGAUCGGAUUAGAUAGAAAGUUUGGCUGGGGCGGCACACCUUCGAAAAAGCAGCGAAGGUGUCCUAAGUUAAGCUCAGUAAGGACAGAAAUCUUACGUUGAGGAUAAGGCCAAAAGCUUAAUUUACUGUGCCUUUUUGUACUAGGAUCAGUUUGGAAACAAAGGCCUAACGAUCCCUAAUUAGUCUUAGGUGUGUAAGACUUGGGGUGACAGACAAGUUACCUCCGGGACAACUGGCUUGUGGCUGCUAAGAGAUCAAAUCAACGCAGCUUUUUGAUUCUUCGAUGUCGGCUCUUCCUAUCCUAGUGAUGUACAAGUCACUAAGGGUUGGAUUGUUCACCCGUAUUAGGGAUCGUGAGCUGGGUUUAGACCGUCGUGAGCCAGGUUUGUUUUAUCCUACUGGAUAUAAUUUAGCAUCUUGAUAGUAGUUUGAUUUAGUACGAGAGGAACUGUUGAAUAUGGUCUCUGGUUUGGGAAUUUUAUGAAAAUAAAAGUUCCAAAGCUACGCCGUCUGAGAUAAUGGCUGAAGGCCUCUUAAGCCAGAAACUCAUCUAAAAAUAGAUGCUUUAAACUAUUUAAAAGAAUUAAAUUUAAAAUAUUUUUUUUAUUAAAAUUUGU
rnacentral:rRNA from 1 species